rnacentral:rRNA from 1 species
UACGUAGGGGGCGAGCGUUGUCCGGAUUUAUUGGGCGUAAAGGGCUCGUAGGCGGUUUGUCGCGUCGGGAGUGAAAACCUCGGGCUUAACUCGGAGCUUGCUUUCGAUACGGGCAGACUGGAGGUAUGCAGGGGAGAACGGAAUUCCUGGUGUAGCGGUGAAAUGCGCAGAUAUCAGGAGGAACACCGGUGGCGAAGGCGGUUCUCUGGGCAUGACCUGACGCUGAGGAGCGAAAGUGUGGGGAGCGAACAGG